UACGUAGGGGGCAAGCGUUGUCCGGAUUUAUUGGGCGUAAAGAGCGUGUAGGCGGUUAGGUAGGUCCGUUGUGAAAACUCGAGGCUCAACCUCGAGACGCCGAUGGAAACCAUCUGACUAGAGUCCGGAAGAGGAGAGUGGAAUUCCGUGGUGUAGCGGUGAAAUGCGCAGAUAUCAGGAAGAACACCCGUGGCUAAGGCGGCUCUCUAGUACGGUACUGACGCUGAGACGCGAAAGCGUGGGGAGCGAACAGG
rnacentral:rRNA from 1 species